ACGCUGGUGGCGUGCGGCCAACCUUUGGUGCUGAAGGCACCGGCGUAAGGACCUGUUCAAGGCGGGUCCGGCCUG
rnacentral:tRNA from 1 species